UACGUAGGCAGCGAGCGUUGUUCGGAGUUACUGGGCGUAAAGGGUGUGUAGGCGGUUCUCUAAGUUUGGUGUGAAAUCUCCCGGCUCAACCGGGAGGGUGCGCCGAAAACCGGGGGACUCGAGUGCGGGAUGGGAGAGUAGAAUUCCUGGUGUAGCGGUGAAAUGCGUAGAUAUCAGGAGGAAUCCGGGUGGUGUAGACGGCUCUCUGGACCGCCACUGACGCUGAGACACGAAAGCGUGGGUAGCAAACAGG
rnacentral:rRNA from 1 species